UACGAAGGGGGCUAGCGUUGCUCGGAAUGACUGGGCGUAAAGGGCGCGUAGGCGGAUGGCAUAGUCAGAUGUGAAAUUCCCGGGCUUAACCUGGGGGCUGCAUUUGAUACGUGUGAUCUAGAGUGAGGAAGAGGGUCGUGGAAUUCCCAGUGUAGAGGUGAAAUUCGUAGAUAUUGGGAAGAACACCGGUGGCGAAGGCGGCGACCUGGUCCUUGACUGACGCUGAGGCGCGAAAGCGUGGGGAGCAAACAGG
rnacentral:rRNA from 1 species